rnacentral:rRNA from 1 species
AGUGAACGCUGGCGGUAGGCCUAACACAUGCAAGUCGAACGGCAGCACAGUAAGAGCUUGCUCUUACGGGUGGCGAGUGGCGGACGGGUGAGGAAUACAUCGGAAUCUACUUUUUCGUGGGGGAUAACGUAGGGAAACUUACGCUAAUACCGCAUACGACCUACGGGUGAAAGCAGUGGAUCUUCGGACCUUGCGCGAUUGAAUGAGCCGAUGUCGGAUUAGCUAGUUGGCGGGGUAAAGGCCCACCAAGGCGACGAUCCGUAGCUGGUCUGAGAGGAUGAUCAGCGACACUGGAACUGGGACGCGGUCCAGACUCCUACGGGAGGCAGCAGUGGGGAAUAUUAGACAAUGGGCGCAAGCCUGAUCCAGCCAUACCGCGUGGGUGAAGAAGACCUUCGGGUUGUAAAGCCCUUUUGUUGGGAAAGAAAAGCAGCAGGUUAAUACCCCGCUGUUCUGACGGUACCCAAAGAAUAAGCACCGGCUAACUUCGUG